rnacentral:rRNA from 1 species
AGGAAGGAGAAGUCGUAACAAGGUUUCCGUAGGUGAACCUGCGGAAGGAUCAUUGUCGAGACCGAAAUAUUUAUCGAUCGAUUCAGACAACUCGUAAAUUACCGAAACGACCAUCCUGGUCGUCGCCCCAAACUCUCUUUUGAAGGAAGGGCGUGACGGAGGAUGGAUGGAUCACAAACAGGCGCAGCCACGCGCCAAGGAAAGAUUGAAACCCACGAGCCCUUCAUUGGGCUCGGUGGCGUGGAGUGCUAUUGCACGCCAUGCCGGUAGCACGACUCUCGGCAAUGGAUAUCUCGGCUCUUGCAUCGAUGAAGAGCGCAGCGAAAUGCGAUACGUGGUGCGAAUUGCAGAAUCCCGUGAACCAUCGAGUCUUUGAACGCAAGUUGCGCCUGAGGCCAGCCGGCCAAGGGCACGUCCGCCUGGGCGUCAAGCGUUGCAUCGCUCCGUGCUAGUUGUCCUGCUAAUUUGUGCAAUGGGCUAGGCUCGGAUGUGUAGAGUGGCCCCUCACGCCCAUCGGUGUGGCGAGCUGAAGAGUGGGAUUCAUCUCAGCGGCGCGAACAACAAGGGGUGGUUGAAAGCUCUGAGCGCAGCCUACGUUGUCUCAUGCUUGCCUGAGAGAUGGAUAGUUCCUUUGAUGUGAUCCCCUACCAUGCGCCGAUCGGCAUGCGGCGGCUUGGAUUGUGACCCCAGGAUGGGCGAGGCCACCCGCCGAGUUUAAGCAUAUCAAUA